rnacentral:lncRNA from 1 species
CAAACAACCAGUCUCAGGGCCAAACUCUUGCAGCAUCUGUGUAUAACCAUCCAGUACAAAAUUGGCAGUGCAAUACAGUUAUAUAGGCAGGAAACUGUUUAUGCCCUGUUAUUUUCUAUAUGGUUUCCUAUAUAAUGCUUGGGAUCAUAAUUUUAGAAGCUCCUCUCAGAACCACACUGGGCGGGGGGGGGGGAACAGCCUCCCCACAUCUGUCUUUUCGUUGUUUAUACAUUCAGUCCCUCCCCAUGAGAAGAAAAAUUUGUAAGAGUGUUUCAUUUUUGUAUUACUUCCUCUUGUUUUUAUUUCUGUUUGUGUUUAUAUUUAUUUAUACAGAGGCGGAAGAAAUGUUCUUAGCUUUCUUCAGCGCUAGGAGCAAUCCUUCCAUCCUGGGAGCAGUUAUCCUGCAUCCAAGAGGAGCUUCACUUCUACUUUUUCCUCCUGGAAGGAGACUGUGGCCUGAUCUUCAUGGUUUUGGACCAAGUCCCUCGGCUGUACUCCUGGUGGAAAGAUUACAUCCUGUUCUGUGACUUUCAAAUCUCAAAUGCAGAUGUGCCAUUCCUUAGAAACAUCACAGGAGUUAUUUGCUCAGAGAGAAUCAAAUUUGUGUGAAUUCAUUAAGUCAAACAGGACCAUAAGUACGCAUGAUGAACCAUAUGUUUGCCUAAAGAAAUGCUGAAUCAAGUGAACGAAUGUUUUCACAAAUAAAUGUGUACACAAAUGACA